AGGCCGAUUUGGAGUGGUUCCCUCGCAAGCUCCUGCUAUUCCCCACCUCUCGCGACGUUCUGCAUCUAGAUUGUUUUCUUCAGUGGCAGGAAGGUGAGUGGGAUGACCAUAUGUCAGGGAGUGUUUGGUUUAAAGAGAGAUCACUGGGGAUGAGUUCACGACCAUGUUCCUGCUAAUUUUUGGCAAUAUGGUUCAGAGAGUGGUAACUAUUUGGUCAAACAAACAUCUUCCUGUCUUGAUAUGCCUUUUUAUUUUUGGUUAUUUGUGAGAACUUUUAGUACAUGUCUUUGUCAUAGCUAGAACUUCUGACAACUUUGAAGCAAGAAUGUUCAGAGAAAUUGUUCCAUGGAAUAGCUAAACGAUAAUACUAUUAUUGAUUUAUGAUAGUUUGCACAUGCAUACAGAAAUAGAUAUAUUCAAGCCUGUAAUGGCUAACAGCCAAAAGUAUGAAUCUAUUCUUGAUACUCUUUUCCCCUUCUCUUAAAAUAAUCAUAUACAAAUUAUAAGCUUUCUAACAUCUGCAUAUUUCAGGUUUCCAAGGAGGUACAGAAAGCAAGGUUCAAACAAUUCAGUGCAGCAGCAGCAACACCUCCAAGACUGGGCGGUGCCCUAUGAUGUGAAGCCGGUGUAAUAACUUUUUCAUUUGGCAUCGGUGGUGAUGUGACAACCUUUUAGACAAUUUGGCACCUGUAACACAGUGGAAGACCUCAUACGAGCUGGUUGCCUUCCUGGUAGUUGUUGCGGGUUUUGAAUUAAGUGUACAACUAUGUUUAAAACGCCAUGAUCAGAAGCUGUGGUGGGUGUACAGAUUGACUCUUAUUACAUGACUAUUCCUAAGAUUGAUUC